AGCGGCGGACGGGUGAGUAACGCGUGGGUAACCUGCCCUAUACACACGGAUAACAUACCGAAAGGUAUGCUAAUACGAGAUAAUAUAAGAGAUUCACAUGGAUUUCUUAUCAAAGCUGAGGCGGUAUAGGAUGGACCCGCGUCUGAUUAGCUAGUUGGUAAGGUAACGGCUUACCAAGGCGACGAUCAGUAGCCGACCUGAGAGGGUGAUCGGCCACAUUGGAACUGAGACACGGUCCAAACUCCUACGGGAGGCAGCAGUGGAGAAUAUUGCACAAAGGGCGAAAGCCUGAUGCAGCAACGCCGCGUGAGUGAUGAAGGCCUUCGGGUCGUAAAACUCUGUCCUCAAGGAAGAUAAUGACGGUACUUGAGGAGGAAGCCCCGGCUAACUACGUGCCAGCAGCCGCGGUAAUACGUAGGGGGCUAGCGUUAUCCGGAAUUACUGGGCGUAAAGGGUGCGUAGGUGGUUUCUUAAGUCAGAGGUGAAAGGCUACGGCUCAACCGUAGUAAGCCUUUGAAACUGGGAAACUUGAGUGCAGGAGAGGAGAGUGGAAUUCCUAGUGUAGCGGUGAAAUGCGUAGAUAUUAGGAGGAACACCAGUUGCGAAGGCGGCUCUCUGGACUGUAACUGACACUGAGGCACGAAAGCGCGGGGAGCAAACAGGAUUAGAUACCCUGGUAGUCCACGCCGUAAACGAUGAGUACUAGCUGU
rnacentral:rRNA from 1 species